GAUGAACGCUGGCGGCGUGCCUAAUACAUGCAAGUCGAGCGAACAGAUGAGGAGCUUGCUCCUCUGACGUUAGCGGCGGACGGGUGAGUAACACGUGGAUAACCUACCUAUAAGACUGGGAUAACUUCGGGAAACCGGAGCUAAUACCGGAUAAUAUAUUGAACCGCAUGGUUCAAUAGUGAAAGACGGUUUUGCUGUCACUUAUAGAUGGAUCCGCGCCGCAUUAGCUAGUUGGUAAGGUAACGGCUUACCAAGGCAACGAUGCGUAGCCGACCUGAGAGGGUGAUCGGCCACACUGGAACUGGGACACGGUCCAGGCUCCUACGGGAGGCAGCAGUAGGGAAUCUUCCGCAAUGGGCGAAAGCCUGACGGAGCAACGCCGCGUGAGUGAUGAAGGUCUUCGGAUCGUAAAACUCUGUUAUUAGGGAAGAACAAAUGUGUAAGUAACUAUGCACGUAUUGACGGUACCUAAUCAGAAAGCCACGGCUAACUACGUG
rnacentral:rRNA from 1 species